AAAUUGAAGAGUUUGAUCAUGGCUCAGAUUGAACGCUGGCGGCAGGCCUAACACAUGCAAGUCGAGCGGAAACGAGUUGUCAGAACCUUCGGGGAACGAUAACGGCGUCGAGCGGCGGACGGGUGAGUAAUGCCUAGGAAAUUGCCCUGAUGUGGGGGAUAACCAUUGGAAACGAUGGCUAAUACCGCAUGAUGCCUA
rnacentral:rRNA from 1 species